ACUUAUGCAAGGAUUUUCUUCUUUAAUCUGCACCACCCCACGAGUUCCUCUCUGGAAUUCAUCCUGUCACUUGACUGUGUGGGCCCCAUGUGGAAUUCUAACAGCAUCCAGGAAGCCAUUCCGUCAAGCUGGUA